AGCAGCCGCGGUAAUUCCAGCUCCAAUAGCGUAUAUUAAAGUUGUUGCAGUUAAAAAGCUCGUAGUUGAAUUUCGAGAUCAGUACGCUGGUCGUGCCUUCGGUAUGCACUGGUGUCACUGGUUUCUCCCUUCUGAAGAACCGUCAUGCCAUUCAGUUGGUGUGGCGGGGAAUCAGGACUGUUACUUUGAAAAAAUUAGAGUGUUUAAAGCAGGCUCGCGCUUGAAUACAUUAGCAUGGAAUAAUGAAAUAGGACGUUUGACCCUAUUUUGUUGGUUUCUAGGAUCGACGUAAUGAUUAAUAGGGAUAGUUGGGGGCAUUAGUAUUCAAUUGUCAGAGGUGAAAUUCUUGGAUUUAUUGAAGACUAACUACUGCGAAAGCAUUUGCCAAGGAUGUUUUCAUUAAUCAAGAACGAAAGUUAGGGGAUCGAAGACGAUCAGAUACCGUCGUAG
rnacentral:rRNA from 1 species